GUAGUGGUGAUUCAGUGGUGGAAUUCUUGCCUUCCACAUGAGAGAUACAGGUUCAAUUCCUGGCCAAAGCA
rnacentral:tRNA from 1 species